rnacentral:rRNA from 1 species
UACAGAGGUCUCAAGCGUUGUUCGGAUUCAUUGGGCGUAAAGGGCGCGUAGGCGGCGGGGUAAGUCGGGUGUGAAAUCUCAGAGCUCAACUCUGAAACUGCACUCGAUACUGCUCUGCUUGAGGACUGGAGAGGAGACUGGAAUUCACGGUGUAGCAGUGAAAUGCGUAGAUAUCGUGAGGAAGACCAGUGGCGAAGGCGGGUCUCUGGACAGUUCCUGACGCUGAGGCGCGAAGGCCAGGGGGAGCAAACGGGG